UAGAUUGAUUGCUUUUCUUUUCUUUCUUUCUUUUUUCUUUCUCUUUUUUCCCAAUG
rnacentral:ribozyme from 1 species